UUCCGAGCUGUGCAGCGUGCCUGGAGGACUCAGUGGCCGCGGCCGCUGGCGGGGCUGACCCGCGGGGACCUUACCUAUCGUCCCUGCCCUCACAGCCGCCAUAAAUAGAGCGUGCGCGUCCUCUCAGGAAGGCCCGUCCUGGAGCCCGGCCGGCGCCGCGCGUUCCUGCCGGUGCCCGCCCGCGAGGGGAGUUCAGGAAGGAGAGCUUCCCUCAGUUUGGCCUGUUCACCAGUGAAGUGGGAGGAGUCUUGCAGUGACCAGUGCUGGAAUACACUUGUCCAGGUUCACACACUGCUUAUGCUUAAGCACUCCUGUGGGAGACUGGUGUUGUGAUGUAGCAGGUAAAGCUGCCUGCAAUGCCAGCAUCCCAUAUGGGUGCUGAUUCAUGUCCCGGAUUCUCCACUUCUGAUCCAGCUCCCUACUAAUGGCCUGGAAAAAGCAGCAGAAGAUGGCCCAAGUGCUGGGGCCCCUGCUACCCACAUGAAACACCUAGAAGAAGCUCCUGGCUCCAGGCUUCAGUCUGGCCCAGUGCUGGUCAUUGUGGCCAUCUGGACAAUGAACUAGCAAAUGGAAGCUCUUUCUCUCUGUCUCUCCCUCUCUCUGUAACUCUGACUUUCAAAUAAACAAAUAAAUACUAAAAAAAAAAAAAAAAAAAAAAA